rnacentral:lncRNA from 1 species
CUGGGUGUUCUCGCAGCGAUGGAGAUGCACAUCUCCCUUGCCAUCCAAAUCCUGUCCACAAUUUUCCAAGGCAUGCGGAACAUUCUAGCGCGUGGCUGUUGUCUCACCGAGCCCCAGCUCUCUCCGUGUUUCAUGGGAUUGUAACGACCACACAGUGAAUGUCUGAAUUAGGGAUCAUUUUCUAGGGAAGCCUUCAGAGGUACAGUCUCUGACAAGGGAUCGGGCACAUUUGAGGCUUCCCAUACAUUGCUCUGUUGCUUCCGGGUGUCUGAGCACAGGACGGGGCUCCAGGAGGCUCAUGGGAAAGUGGACCUGAAAGCCACGUGCAACGUUUUCAUAACAUGCAUUUCCCGUGACCUUUCUGACACCCCCUGGGUGGGUGGGUUUUGGAAUUUUUGCACAAAAAUAAACUUUCUUGUAAUUCCAUUUUUGUGCGCCUCCCCUGGCAAUGUGGACUUGCCGGCAUCUCCAGCUGCCUCGAGCCCAUCGCGUGUUCACAGAGACGUUGGCACCCUGAACUGCAGCUCACCAUGGGGAGGGGACUUCCCCGCUCUGCAUGAGGACACCACUCUGGGCCCCCAGACCUCCAGACGCCUCUGUCUGUCCCAACUCUCCACCUGCACCUAUGUGCGCUGCCUGGUGGGAGCCAAGCCCUUAGCCUGGUUUUUCAUCACAUGUACUUCAUCUAGACUGGAUCAGGGUUCAGAUCUCCCGCCCCCCACCAUUCCGUCCUUGUUCUCCUCCACCUUGGCCCCCAGUGAGAACCCCAAGGCCUUCUCUGACCACCAAAACACAAAUGAACAAAGCAAACCCAGCCCCUUCUUGGGGAGAGAAGAUGGACAGAGGAUUCUGGGUGGCCCUGGGCAGAUAGCGCUGACACCAAACACAGGCACAUUUGCACUUGAAUGUGGACAAGAUGCAGGGGACCCCGGGUGCCCCUGCUGGGCUCAGCCUCUCCCCUUUGAGCCUGGCCCCCUAGAGCCCACAGAGAAGCCAGCUUCCUCAGCUCUUCCUUCCCACCCUCCAGGAGUCCUGAAGGUCAUUGUCGGGUGCAGGGACCGGGCGCCCGAGGCAGUGAGGCUGCGCACGUGUCGGGGACUGCUGGCUCUAGUGGCACCGCCCCUGCCACUGUGGGCUGACCUCAGGGCUCAUGGCUGCCAGGGAGUCGUGCCCAGGGGCUGCGGCUGGCACUGGAGGUCACUGCAGAGAGCCUGUCUCUCUUUGGUUCCCUCCCUCUAUGCGGGGCGGGGGGGGGGCACUGGCAGGGAUGGGCACGAACCUCCCCCUUCUCUUUCUGCCUGCUUUCCCAGUUUGCCUGACUACCAAGACCUGACCUCUGUACCCAGGGAGCCCGUGAACAGCUAGACCCCUCCCACCCCAGCUCCUCCUGGG